GAUGAACGCUGGCGGCGUGCCUAACACAUGCAAGUCGAGCGGCAGCGAGGGGUGCUUGCACCCUGUCGGCGAGCGGCGGACGGCUGAGUAACGCGUGGGAACGUGCCCCAAAGUGAGGAAUAACUGCCCGAAAGGGUAGCUAAUACCGCAUAUUAUCUUCGGAUCAAAGGAUUUAUCCGCUUUGGGAGCGGCUCGCGUCGGAUUAGGUAGUUGGUGAGGUAAUGGCUCACCAAGCCGACGAUCCGUAGCUGGUCUGAGGGGAUGACCAGCCAGACUGGAACUGAGACACGGUCCAGACUCCUACGGGAGGCAGCAGUGAGGAAUCUUCCACAAUGGGCGAAAGCCUGAUGGAGCAACGCCGCGUGCAGGACGAAGGCCUUCGGGUUGUAAACUGCUUUUAUAAGUGAGGAAUAUGACGGUAACUUAUGAAUAAGGAUCGGCUAACUACGUG
rnacentral:rRNA from 1 species